rnacentral:rRNA from 1 species
ACGGCUCAGUAACACGUAGCCAAUCUAACCUAUGGACGGGGAUAACCUCGGGAAACUGAGGAUAAACCCCGAUAGAUCAUUAUGCCUGGAACGGUUUAUGGUCCAAACGAUUCGUCGCCAUAGGAUGAGACUGCGGCCUAUCAGCUUGUUGGUGAGGUAAUGGCCCACCAAGGCUAUUACAGGUACGGGCUCUGAGAGGAGAAGCCCGGAGAUGGGUACUGAGACACGGACCCAGGCCCUAUGGGGCGCAGCAGGCGAGAAACCUUUGCAAUGUGCGCAAGCACGACAAGGUUAAUCCGAGUGUUUCCUGCUAAAGGAAUCUUUUGUUAGUCCUAAAAACACUAGCGAAUAAGGGGUGGGCAAGUUCUGGUGUCAGCCGCCGCGGUAAAACCAGCACCUCAAGUUGUCAGGAGGAUUAUUGGGCCUAAAGCAUCCGUAGCCUGCUCUGUAAGUUUCCGGUUAAAUCCAUUUGCUCAACAAAUGGGCUGCCGGAAAAACUGCAAAGCUAGGGAGUGGGAGAGGUAGACGGUACUCGGUAGGAAGGGGUAAAAUCCUUUGAUCUAUUGAUGACCACCUGUGGCGAAGGCGGUCUACCAGAACACGUUCGACGGUGAGGGAUGAAAGCUGGGGGAGCAAACCGGAUUAGAUACCCGGGUAGUCCCAGCUGUAAACUAUGCAAACUCGGUGAUGCAUUGGCUUGUGGCCAGUGCAGUGCCGCAGGAAGCCGUUAAGUUUGCCGCCUGGGAAGUACGUACGCAAGUAUGAAACUUAAAGGAAUUGGCGGGGGAGCACCACAAGGGGUGAAGCCUGCGGUUCAAUUGGAGUCAACGCCGGG